GACACGGUGGUCGAGUGGUCUAAGACGCCAGAUUUAAGUUUAAUUGCUGGUUUUGGUACUGGCAGAAUUCUUAAGAUUCCUGGUCUCGCAAGAGGCGUGGGUUCGAACCCCACCCGUGUCA
rnacentral:tRNA from 1 species